rnacentral:rRNA from 1 species
UACGGAGGAUGCGAGCGUUAUCCGGAUUUAUUGGGUUUAAAGGGUGCGUAGGCGGGAUGCCAAGUCAGCGGUAAAAAUGCGGUGCUCAACGCCGUCGAGCCGUUGAAACUGGCGUUCUUGAGUGGGCGAGAAGUAUGCGGAAUGCGUGGUGUAGCGGUGAAAUGCAUAGAUAUCACGCAGAACUCCGAUUGCGAAGGCAGCAUACCGGCGCCCAACUGACGCUGAAGCACGAAAGCGUGGGUAUCGAACAGG